GAUGAAGAACGCAGCGAAAUGCGAUAAGUAGUGUGAAUUGCAGAAUUCAGUGAAUCAUCGAAUCUUUGAACGCACAUUGCGCCCUUUGGUAUUCCUUAGGGCAUGCCUGUUCGAGCGUCAUUUAAACCUUCAAGCUAAGCUUGGUGUUGGGUGACUGUCCGCUUCACUGCGGACUCGCCUCAAAAUUAUUGGCGGCCGGUACAUUGGCUUCGAGCGCAGCAGAAACGUGAACUCGGGCCCGUCGUAUUGGCUCCCAGAAGCUAUCUUCACAAUUUUGACCUCGGAUCAGGUAGGGAUACCCGCUGAACUUAAGCAUAUCAAUAAGCGGAGGA
rnacentral:misc_RNA from 1 species